GGAAGAACUGGAUUUUUUUUUCAUCUGUCAUCUCUUUAUCACUAGCUCUUGGUGAAUGACUAGAGAAUUUAUGCAUUGCAGAUGCAGCCCCUCAGCUCCAGCGAGGAGCUUAUAAAUAGUGUAAUGCAAAAACUGCAGCCUGGCGUCAGUGCCGUGAGCUGCAGAGCCAUGUGCCCUUUUCAUGAAGGAGUCUGUAGCACAAACUCCUCUUGGCCUUCUAGCACAUCACUGGGCUCAUAAAUUUUUCUGAGGUUAAAAAUAAGAUAAACAGCCCUGUCUAGUGGCAAUUUCAAUAACUACAUCAGAAGGACAUUACUUCUAAAAGAAUUCAGCCCCAUAUGUGUUGAAUCAAGUGUGUUUAAAAAUAGAUGGUUGGCUUGCCUUUCUACAUGGCAAAUGCUCCAAGUACUUCUCCAGAGACCCUGGAUAAACAUGUGAGGCUGUACUCUGCCGUUAGCUUUCUCCUAAGAGAUUAGCUGCCUUUAUUUAAUUUUCACCAAAACCAAUACAACUCCCUGAUGGCUUGCCACUUCUCAAGCUGUGGCUGUAUCUAACACCUCCCCUUGGACAUACUCAGUGCUGGAGGUCCAAAACCUGCCUUGAGCUCCCAAGUCAAAGCUCUCUUUAUGCUGGAAGCCGUGUGGGAGCAGACUUUGCAUCACUCUGGGUUCUUGUGGGUCCUGUGGUGCUCCUGGAGGUGGCUCUUACCCGCAGAAAGGGGAAGGUUUUGCUGGGAUCGCCGUCUGCACAGCUCGGGGCCUGCAGCAGCCCCGCUUCAGGCCUUCCCGCGGGCUGCCGUGUGCGCUGCUCCGCUGGGCCCGGCAGCACCCAGUUCUCGAGAUUGCAGAGGAUCAAAGGUCGGAGCCUGAAGGAAGGAAGGUGACCUCACUAGGAGCUGCUCAGAUGUCAGGUGAAGUGCACGCCCCACAAACACCGAUAGCAUGUUGGCGCUGCAGCCAGAGGCACAGAAAGAGACGAAGACUGUGGAUCUAGAAAUACGCACAUGCUUGCAGAAGAACUUGCUGGCCUGCACAUGCAUUGCUCCAGUCUUCAUGAGAAGUUUGUAUCUGACCUAGUAGCUGGACAAAAAUUUGCUUGGUUCUUAACCUGUAGUAUUAAGGCAGUAAUUCCAUAGCCUAUGUUGCUCAUUAUAACUAAUGUAAUAAUCACAUAACAAAAUAUACAAAUAGAGAAUAAAACUGUCUUUUCAUCCUUAGACUAGAAUACUGUGUUCUUUAUAAU